rnacentral:rRNA from 1 species
UACGUAGGGUGCAAGCGUUAAUCGGAAUUACUGGGCGUAAAGCGAGCGCAGGCGGUUAUGUAAGACAGAUGUGAAAUCCCAGGGCUUAACCUUGGAACUGCAUUUGUGACUGCAUGGCUAGAGUGUGUCAGAGGGGGGUGGAACUCCACGUGUAGCAGUGAAAUGCGUAGAGAUGUGGAAGAACACCGAUGGCGAAGGCAGCCCCCUGGGAUAACACUGACGCUCAGGCUCGAAAGCGUGGGGAGCAAACAGG